rnacentral:rRNA from 1 species
AGUGGGCGUAACGUACCUACUAGCCUACGACGGGUACGGGUUGUGAGAGCAAGAGCCCGGAGAUGGAUUCUGAGACACGAAUCCAGGCCCUACGGGGUGCAGCAGGCGCGAAAACUUUACAAUGCGGGAAACCGUGAUAAGGGAAUCUCGAGUGCCAGCAUAUAAUGUUGGCUGUCCAGAUGCCUAAAAAGCAUCUGUUAGCAAGGGCCGGGCAAGACCGGUGCCAGCCGCCGCGGUAACACCGGCGGCCCGAGUGGUAACCGUUAUUAUUGGGUCUAAAGGGUCUGUAGCCGGCCAUGUAAGUCCCUUGGGAAAUCUGGCAGCUCAACUGUCAGGCUGCUAGGGGAUACUGCUUGGCUUGGGACCGGGAGAGGUGAGAGGUACCUUGAGGGUAGGGGUGAAAUCUUGUGAUCCUCGGGGGACCACCAGUGGCGAAGGCGUCUCACCAGAACGGAUCCGACGGUAAGGGACGAAAGCUAGGGGCACGAACCGGAUUAGAU